GUUAGGAAUAUUGGACAAUGGGCGCAAGCCUGAUCCAGCCAUGCCGCGUGAACGAUGAAGGCCUUCGGGUUGUAAAGUUCUUUAGCCGAUGAUUAUAAUGACUGUAGUCGGAAAAUAAGCCCCGGCUAACUUCGUGCCAGCAGCCGCGGUAAUAAGAAGGGGGCGAGCGUUAUUCGGAAUCACUGGGCGUAAAGCGUGCGUAGGCGGUUUUGUAAGUUAGGUGUGAAAGCCGAGGGCUCAACCUUGGAAUUGCUCUUAAAACUGCAAGGCUCGAAUCUCGGAGAGGAUAGCGGAAUUUCCAGUGUAGCAGUGAAAUGCGUAGAUAUUGGAAGGAACACCAGUGGCGUAAGCGGCUAUCUGGACGAGUAUUGACGCUGAGGCACGAAAGCGUGGGGAUCAAACAGUAUUAAAUACCCCAGUAGUCC
rnacentral:rRNA from 1 species